GGCGCGCAGCUGUACGGGUCCCCUGGGAGGGUAUGGGGCGGCUCCCGAGGACACAUCGCCUCCCCUCCCCCUGCAAGACCCCACCCGAGGGGCUGAAACAAUGCGGCGGCGGCGGCUCUCCGAGGCUGCGGGUCCCCACUUGCUCCACCGGGUCAGCGCCCCACCGAGUCUGACGCUGGCGGGAUGGCAGGCUGGAGAAGGCGAGGGAGGUCGGCCCAGGAAAACUGUUCUCUUAGACCACGGGAACGGCCACUCUGGGUCGCCUCGGUUCGCAUCUGCGCGCUUUGGGUGACUGCAGUUUUGUCCAGGGCAGCGACCAGAGCAUAGAGCCACCUAUCUCUGAAUUUGAAUCCUGGUUCCCGUCACAUUAUGGAUACCUGACUUUGGAAAAGGAGCCCAUCCUGAGCCUUAGCUUCUUCAUAUGCUCCACUCAGCAAGGUAUCAGGAAUCAUUUCUUACCAGUUCAACUUACUCUGAGAUGCCCAGAAAGUCGCACUGUUCUGAGGAGCAAAAGAAUUCCAAAGGACAUCUGCUUGAUGGAAAGCCAACCUCUUCAGCUGCUGCUCACUCCUGCUCUCACCCCCAGGAAGCUGACUCUCCAGAAAUGGUCCCAACCCGCAUCCUGGAAGAACCCGCGGGAUGAUUGGAGCUGCUCUCGCCCCAUCUUUGAAACCCACAACUGGAAACUUGGACUUCUUUCACGCACACAGAGAUUCCUCAAGUCGGAGGGCACCUAGAAGUCGCUGAGUCUCACAAUGCCAGCAUUCUACAGACAAGGAUAAUGAAGCUUUGUUUUCUGUUCUUUUCUCCCUCCACCAAAUUUGCUUGUGUACUAAGCAAGAAUAAUAAAUAAUGAGGGCGAGGAAGGAACUCUUCCGAUUACCUCGGAGAGCAGGGAGCGUAA